CCAAGGUGAUGAGAGCCUCUGAGAGGUGAGAUUCCACGUCCCAAGUUGCACAGCUGGGGAGAGACAGUGUCAGGACAGUAUCGCCUGUGCUGAGGUCUAGCUCCCCAGCUAGACUGAAGCUUUGUGAGGAUUUUAUUCAUUUCAAGUCUGGAUCUCCUGGGGCAACCAGAUUGUGCCCUUGAUGUGAGAUUGUUGUCAAAACAAGAGCGAUCAUUUAUUGAGAACUUACCGGGUGUGAAGCCUUGUGCUAAAAGGAUUUUAUGUGCUUCGGGUGAUUUAAUUAUUUUUCCCAGCCACCCCAUGAGGCAGCCUUGACCUGGAGCCCUACAAUCCUCAUGGGCAGUCUGAAUUUUCUUCCAAGUGCAGUGGUAAGCCAUCAGAUGAUUUUAAAUGGAGAAGUAAGACACUUGGAUCCGUGCCUAAAAGAAUCACUCUGCUGUUGAGUUCCUGAGAAGCAGGCUCUGAGAUAGAGAUCAUUUUUCAGGAAGCUUAUUGAGAGAUGCUCUUGGGAUCCACACUUGUAGAAGACGUGCCUUUCACCUUCUGCCAUGAUUGUCAGGCCUCCCCAGCCACGUGGAACUCACCAGACAUUUGAAAGAAGGACUAUGGCAGGAAGGCCCGGAAGUUCAAUCAAAAUCUUUCCACUGGUCCAUGCUGGCUCUGCCUACUAUAAAUACAAGGGACUUGAUGAAAGAACCAAGGCAUGAGGAGAUUUCUUGCCAAAUUGAAACCAUGGAGAUGAACAAGGGUGCUUCUGGGAAGCCCAUUUGGAAGAAAAAGAGGGAACUAGAAAGCUGCCAAGUCAAGAUUUUGAAGCGGAGACAAAGUCAAAAGUUUAGACCUCCCUCCAAAUGCUGGGGAUGGGCUGACUGUUUAACCAUGUGCACACCAACCCAAUGCACACCAGACCAACAGUAAAACUGAGGUUCCAGAGGCUGUGGGAUUUGCUCAGGGCCACACCGCCAGAGGUAGAUCCAGCCAUCCUGACUCAGAACCAGCCAGAGAGGCCUGACAUUGAAUGUCAGACACUGCCAGGGAGAAGUGGGUGAUCUCAGGUCAGUUACUUUCUCUGGGCCUCGGCUUCCUUACCUGUAUAAUGGGGUUAACAAACCUACCCACACUUCCUAGGAGGUCCUUGUGAGGAGCCACUGAGACACCACAUGUAGGCCUUUCGCACGUGCUUGUGGAGGAACGGAUUUGUCAUUUUGUGGUAUAGGGUGGGAAAUUGGAUCUGACUUCCAACUUCCCUUGAAAAUUGCUUUUUAUUUUUAUUUUUUAUUUAUUUAUUUUUUUUGAGACAGAAUUUCUUUCUUGUUGCCCAGAUUGGAAUGCAGUGGCACGGUCUCAGCUCACUGCAACCUCCACCUCCCGGGUUCAAGCGAUUCUCCUGCCUCAGACUCCUGAGUAGCUGGGAUUACAGGCACUCGCCACCACGCCUGGCUAAUUUUUGUAUUUUUAGUAGGAUGGGAUUUCACCAUGUUGGCCAGACUGGGGGUCUCAGACUCCUGACCUUAAGUGAUCCUCCCGCCUUGGCCCUCAAAAAUGCUGGGAUUACAGGCAUGAGCCACCGCACCCGGCCCGAAAGUUCCUUCUUAAAUAGAGCUCCUGAUAUCAAUUUUAUUUUUAAACCCCUUUUAUGAAAGCCCUUGUAUGGACUCUCAGGGAAUUUGGAUUCUGUCUAGCCGAUGUCACUAAUUGCACAUCUGAAAAGCUUUGUCUUUGUCUUAUUUAAGCUCCCAAUGACCCCAUUUUACAGACGUGGAAAUUGAGACUGCGUGACUCACCCAAAGCCUCUGGAUUAGUAAGAUACUUAGCUGAGAUCUCAACAUAGAGCUGCCAGACCCCACCUGUUAUGAAGCACCUACAAAAGAGGAUGGUGAAAAGCCCUCCAGGCUGGACAGAGGGUCUCCUAGACGGGCUACAGGGUGGGGUAGACCCUUGGACUUGGGCUGGAAGCAUCUAAGACCCUAAUUAAAACGAGGACAGAAGGAAUGGUGAUAAUCGUUCUGUUUACAGAGUGCCAGGCAAGCAC